UUGAUGUUUAGUGGACCAAUUAUAGAAACCUUUAUACGAAUUCCUAAUUAUAAUAGUUUGGAGAAUGAAAUACUGAGCCAAUUCAUAUGUUGGCCUAAUGGAAAAAUAUAUGAAACCCUAUAUAUCAAACCGUAGUUCUUGUACUUAAAUAAGAAGCCCUAAAUCAGUUGCCUCUUCUCCACUUCGUGAGGCGUUGCAACUACGUUCACACUAUGACUCCUUCCCCUUCAUGUAUUUGGCCUCCUCCAUGCAACAUAUCACCUCUGCC
rnacentral:lncRNA from 1 species